CUCCCAUUCAAUCUGGACUCGCCCGCGAUCACCCCCAGUGGAUGUCUCAUGGAACUACAACCACAAUGGGGCGUAUAGGGAGUGCCCAGGCUCUUCGUAGACGGGCUCUGAUUGGACUCCGUUGUAGCUUUUGAAUUGUCAACUGUCUAUAUUGUAUCAGAGGCCCUUUAUGAUGCAUAUACUGAUCUUUAUUUGGUGAUGUUCAGCACAUGAAGCCCUACAGAUGCCGCCGAUUCAACAAUGCUGAUUAUGAUGGGCGGUGAAUUUAACCUGUAUGGCUUUUUCGUUUUAACUUCUUGUUGACUGAAUUGUUUCUCUUUCUUAGUGCCAAAUUGAUUCUCUUUCUUAGUGCCAAAUUGAUUCUUUUUUGUUUUGCAAUAGCCGUCUCUGCUCUCCUUCUCAUUAAUUUUUCCUUUUCUAGUUGCCUUAUUAUGUCCUCCACAGUCGCCCCAUCAGUCCCUGGCAGUCUGGUCCCUGGAGCAGCUGGCCCUGGCAAAAGUUAUUCCUUCACUGUUGACCCCUGACUGACUGGCCCUCGGCACACAAAUCCCUGGAUCACCCGCCACUGGAUCACCUGCCACUGGAUCACCUGCCCCUGAAUCACCUGCCCCUGGCAAAGUGGCCUCUUGAUUGCUCUCUCUGUCUCCUGUGAUGUCCUUUUCAACGCUCGUGAAAUCCACCUAAAUUUCUCCCUCAAUCUCUGUAACAAUUACAAGGUAAUGUUGUUGUUAUAUGUAUUUUGCCUUUGCAUUUGCAACUACUGUCAUCUCCAAUGUAAGAAAAUGAAUUAAAGCUAAACAUUUCUGUAAUGUGAAUUAAAUCAUCUGCCACAAUCAGAAACCAAUACAAUUUAUAAAUGGAUCUAGCGGCAAUUGUUAAUUGGGUAGAAAUGUGUUGAUUAUCUACAUUGUGUGCAAAUCCUCAGAGAAUCCCUGCCUUCGGGUUUUUUUAAACUGAAUGUACAAAUAUGAAUUAUGUAAUCUCAUUAGGAGUGUAGUCUAUCCUUGAAUUACAUGAAAUGGGGAAUAUUGUUAGCUGCAUGGAUCAUACCGAAGUUUAAUUUGGCGCAAUAUGUGUGGUCCGUUGCACUUGGUUCCGGAGGCACCCUCACAGAAG
ensembl:lncRNA